rnacentral:rRNA from 1 species
UCUGAUUGGCUCCGGGCUUUGUUUGCGCAGGAUAGGUGGGAGGCGAUGAAAAUUUUCUUGCGGGAAGAUUGGAGCCGUUGGUGAGAUACCACUCUAACAAUGCUAGGAUUCUAACCCUACACCGUUAUCCGGUUAGGGGACAGUUUCAGGUGGUCAGUUUGACUGGGGCGGUCGCCUCCCAAAAGGUAACGGAGGCGUGCAAAGGUUUCCUCAGGCUGGUCGGAAAUCAGUCGUAGAGUGUAAAGGCAUAAGGAAGCUUGAUUGUGAGACCUACAAGUCGAACAAAGACGAAAGUCGGCCUUAGUGAUCCGACGGUUCCGAGUGGAAGGGCCGUCGCUCAACGGAUAAAAGUUACUCUAGGGAUAACAGGCUGA